AUUGAACGCUGGCGGCAGGCCUAACACAUGCAAGUCGAGCGGAUGAAGGGAGCUUGCUCCUGGAUUCAGCGGCGGACGGGUGAGUAAUGCCUAGGAAUCUGCCUGGUAGUGGGGGAUAACGUCCGGAAACGGGCGCUAAUACCGCAUACGUCCUGAGGGAGAAAGUGGGGGAUCUUCGGACCUCACGCUAUCAGAUGAGCCUAGGUCGUAUUAGCUAGUUGGUGGGGUAAAGGCCUACCAAGGCGACGAUCCGUAACUGGUCUGAGAGGGUGAUCAGUCACACUGGAACUGAGACACGGUCCAGACUCCUACGGGAGGCAGCAGUGGGGAAUAUUGGACAAUGGGCGAAAGCCUGAUCCAGCCAUGCCGCGUGUGUGAAGAAGGUCUUCGGAUUGUAAAGCACUUUAAGUUGGGAGGAAGGGCAGUAAGUUAAUACCUUGCUGUUUUGACGUUACCAACAGAAUAAGCACCGGCUAACUUCGUG
rnacentral:rRNA from 1 species